GACGAACGCUGGCGGCGUGCUUAACACAUGCAAGUCGAACGGAAAGGCCCUGCUUUUGUGGGGUGCUCGAGUGGCGAACGGGUGAGUAACACGUGAGUAACCUGCCCUUGACUUUGGGAUAACUUCCGGAAACUGGGGCUAAUACCGGAUAGGAGCACCUGCUGCAAGGUGGGGGUUGGAAAGUUUCGGCGGUUGGGGAUGGACUCGCGGCUUAUCAGGUUGUUGGUGGGGUAGUGGCUUACCAAGGCGUUGACGGGUAGCCGGCCUGAGAGGGUGAACGGCGACAUGGGGACUGAGAUAACGCCCAGACUCCGACGGGAGGCAGCAGCGGGGAAUAUUGGACAAUGGGCGGAAGGCUGAGUCAGCAACGCCGGGUGCGGGAUGACGGCCUUCGGGUUGUAAACCGCUUUAGCCUGUGACGAAGCGGGAGUGAAGGUAAUGGGUAAAGAAGCACCGGCUAACUACGUG
rnacentral:rRNA from 1 species